GGGUUGUGAGGUUAAGUGACUAAGCGUACACGGUGGAUGCCCUGGCAGUCAGAGGCGAUGAAGGACGUGCUAAUCUGCGAUAAGCGUCGGUAAGGUGAUAUGAACCGUUAUAACCGGCGAUUUCCGAAUGGGGAAACCCAGUGUGAUUCGUCACACUAUCAUUAACUGAAUCCAUAGGUUAAUGAGGCGAACCGGGGGAACUGAAACAUCUAAGUACCCCGAGGAAAAGAAAUCAACCGAGAUUCCCCCAGUAGCGGCGAGCGAACGGGGAGCAGCCCAGAGCCUGAAUCAGUGUGUGUGUUAGUGGAAGCGUCUGGAAAGGCGCGCGAUACAGGGUGACAGCCCCGUACACAAAAAUACACAUACUGUGAGCUCGAUGAGUAGGGCGGGACACGUGGUAUCCUGUCUGAAUAUGGGGGGACCAUCCUCCAAGGCUAAAUACUCCUGACUGACCGAUAGUGAACCAGUACCGUGAGGGAAAGGCGAAAAGAACCCCGGCGAGGGGAGUGAAAAAGAACCUGAAACCGUGUACGUACAAGCAGUGGGAGCACGCUUAGGCGUGUGACUGCGUACCUUUUGUAUAAUGGGUCAGCGACUUAUAUUCUGUAGCAAGGUUAACCGAAUAGGGGAGCCGAAGGGAAACCGAGUCUUAACUGGGCGUUAAGUUGCAGGGUAUAGACCCGAAACCCGGUGAUCUAGCCAUGGGCAGGUUGAAGGUUGGGUAACACUAACUGGAGGACCGAACCGACUAAUGUUGAAAAAUUAGCGGAUGACUUGUGGCUGGGGGUGAAAGGCCAAUCAAACCGGGAGAUAGCUGGUUCUCCCCGAAAGCUAUUUAGGUAGCGCCUCGUGAAUUCAUCUCCGGGGGUAGAGCACUGUUUCGGCAAGGGGGUCAUCCCGACUUACCAACCCGAUGCAAACUGCGAAUACCGGAGAAUGUUAUCACGGGAGACACACGGCGGGUGCUAACGUCCGUCGUGAAGAGGGAAACAACCCAGACCGCCAGCUAAGGUCCCAAAGUCAUGGUUAAGUGGGAAACGAUGUGGGAAGGCCCAGACAGCCAGGAUGUUGGCUUAGAAGCAGCCAUCAUUUAAAGAAAGCGUAAUAGCUCACUGGUCGAGUCGGCCUGCGCGGAAGAUGUAACGGGGCUAAACCAUGCACCGAAGCUGCGGCAGCGACGCUUAUGCGUUGUUGGGUAGGGGAGCGUUCUGUAAGCCUGCGAAGGUGUGCUGUGAGGCAUGCUGGAGGUAUCAGAAGUGCGAAUGCUGACAUAAGUAACGAUAAAGCGGGUGAAAAGCCCGCUCGCCGGAAGACCAAGGGUUCCUGUCCAACGUUAAUCGGGGCAGGGUGAGUCGACCCCUAAGGCGAGGCCGAAAGGCGUAGUCGAUGGGAAACAGGUUAAUAUUCCUGUACUUGGUGUUACUGCGAAGGGGGGACGGAGAAGGCUAUGUUGGCCGGGCGACGGUUGUCCCGGUUUAAGCGUGUAGGCUGGUUUUCCAGGCAAAUCCGGAAAAUCAAGGCUGAGGCGUGAUGACGAGGCACUACGGUGCUGAAGCAACAAAUGCCAUGCUUCCAGGAAAAGCCUCUAAGCAUCAGGUAACAUCAAAUCGUACCCCAAACCGACACAGGUGGUCAGGUAGAGAAUACCAAGGCGCUUGAGAGAACUCGGGUGAAGGAACUAGGCAAAAUGGUGCCGUAACUUCGGGAGAAGGCACGCUGAUAUGUAGGUGAAGCGACUUGCUCGUGGAGCUGAAAUCAGUCGAAGAUACCAGCUGGCUGCAACUGUUUAUUAAAAACACAGCACUGUGCAAACACGAAAGUGGACGUAUACGGUGUGACGCCUGCCCGGUGCCGGAAGGUUAAUUGAUGGGGUCAGCGCAAGCGAAGCUCUUGAUCGAAGCCCCGGUAAACGGCGGCCGUAACUAUAACGGUCCUAAGGUAGCGAAAUUCCUUGUCGGGUAAGUUCCGACCUGCACGAAUGGCGUAAUGAUGGCCAGGCUGUCUCCACCCGAGACUCAGUGAAAUUGAACUCGCUGUGAAGAUGCAGUGUACCCGCGGCAAGACGGAAAGACCCCGUGAACCUUUACUAUAGCUUGACACUGAACAUUGAGCCUUGAUGUGUAGGAUAGGUGGGAGGCUUUGAAGUGUGGACGCCAGUCUGCAUGGAGCCGACCUUGAAAUACCACCCUUUAAUGUUUGAUGUUCUAACGUUGACCCGUAAUCCGGGUUGCGGACAGUGUCUGGUGGGUAGUUUGACUGGGGCGGUCUCCUCCUAAAGAGUAACGGAGGAGCACGAAGGUUGGCUAAUCCUGGUCGGACAUCAGGAGGUUAGUGCAAUGGCAUAAGCCAGCUUGACUGCGAGCGUGACGGCGCGAGCAGGUGCGAAAGCAGGUCAUAGUGAUCCGGUGGUUCUGAAUGGAAGGGCCAUCGCUCAACGGAUAAAAGGUACUCCGGGGAUAACAGGCUGAUACCGCCCAAGAGUUCAUAUCGACGGCGGUGUUUGGCACCUCGAUGUCGGCUCAUCACAUCCUGGGGCUGAAGUAGGUCCCAAGGGUAUGGCUGUUCGCCAUUUAAAGUGGUACGCGAGCUGGGUUUAGAACGUCGUGAGACAGUUCGGUCCCUAUCUGCCGUGGGCGCUGGAGAACUGAGGGGGGCUGCUCCUAGUACGAGAGGACCGGAGUGGACGCAUCACUGGUGUUCGGGUUGUCAUGCCAAUGGCACUGCCCGGUAGCUAAAUGCGGAAGAGAUAAGUGCUGAAAGCAUCUAAGCACGAAACUUGCCCCGAGAUGAGUUCUCCCUGACUCCUUGAGAGUCCUGAAGGAACGUUGAAGACGACGACGUUGAU
rnacentral:rRNA from 1 species